rnacentral:rRNA from 1 species
UACGGAGGGUGCGAGCGUUAAUCGGAAUUACUGGGCGUAAAGGGUGCGUAGGUUGUCAGCUAAGUUAUCUGUAAAAUCCCUGGGCUUAACCUGGGCAGGUCAGGUAAGACUGGUUGACUAGAGUAUGGGAGAGGGCAGUGGAAUUUCCGGUGUAGCGGUGAAAUGCGUAGAGAUCGGAAGGAACACCAGUGGCGAAGGCGGCUGCCUGGCCUAAUACUGACACUGAGGCACGAAAGCGUGGGGAGCAAACAGG